rnacentral:rRNA from 1 species
GAUGAACGCUGGCGGCGUGCUUAACACAUGCAAGUCGAACGGAAAGGCCCAAGCUUGCUUGGGUACUCGAGUGGCGAACGGGUGAGUAACACGUGGGUGAUCUGCCCUGCACUUCGGGGUAAGCCUGGGAAACUGGGUCUAAUACCGGAUAGGACGAUGGUUUGGAUGCCAUUGUGGAAAGUUUUUUCGGUGUGGGAUGAGCUCGCGGCCUAUCAGCUUGUUGGUGGGGUAAUGGCCUACCAAGGCGUCGACGGGUAGCCGGCCUGAGAGGGUGUACGGCCACAUUGGGACUGAGAUACGGCCCAGACUCCUACGGGAGGCAGCAGUGGGGAAUAUUGCACAAUGGGCGCAGGCCUGAUGCAGCGACGCCGCGUGGGGGAUGACGGCCUUCGGGUUGUAAACUCCUUUCGCUAGGGACGAAGCGUUUUUGUGACGGUACCUGGAGAAGAAGCACCGGCUAACUACGUG